CCUACGGGCGGCAGCAGUGGGGCAUAUUGCACAAUGGGGGAAACCCUGAUGCAGCGACGCCGCGUGAGUGAAGAAGUAUUUCGGUACGUAAAGCUCUAUCAGCAGGGAAGAAAAUGACGGUACCUGACUAAGAAGCCCCGGCUAACUACGUGCCAGCAGCCGCGGUAAUACGUAGGGGGCAAGCGUUAUCCGGAUUUACUGGGUGUAAAGGGAGCGUAGACGGCAGCGCAAGUCUGGAGUGAAAUCCCAUGGCUUAACCAUGGAACUGCUUUGGAAACUGUGCAGCUAGAGUGCAGGAGAGGUAAGCGGAAUUCCUAGUGUAGCGGUGAAAUGCGUAGAUAUUAGGAGGAACACCAGUGGCGAAGGCGGCUUACUGGACUGUAACUGACGUUGAGGCUCGAAAGCGUGGGGAGCAAACAGGAUUAGAUACCCUAGUAGUC
rnacentral:rRNA from 1 species